GGGAGACUGUGAAGCGCACGCGCCAGCGUGUGUGGAGUCAUCGUUGAAAUACCACUCUGGUCGCUCUGGGUAUCUAACUUCGGUCCGUGAUCCGGAUCAGGGACAGUGCCUGGUGGGUAGUUUAACUGGGGCGGUUGCCUCCUAAAGGGUAACGGAGGCGCUCAAAGGUUCCCUCAGCCUGGUUGGUAACCAGGUUUCGAGUGUAAGUGCACAAGGGAGCUUGACUGUGAGACGUACAGGUCGAGCAGGGACGAAAGUCGGAACUAGUGACCCGACGGUGGAUUGUGGAAUCGCCGUCGCUCAACGGAUAAAAGGUACCCCGGGGAUAACAGGCUGAUCCUGCCCAAGAGCUCAUAUCGACGGCAUGGUUUGGCACCUCGAUGUCGGCUCGUCGCAUCCUGGGGCUGGAGUAGGUCCCAAGGGUUGGGCUGUUCGCCCAUUAAAGCGGUACGCGAGCUGGGUUUAGAACGUCGUGAGACAGUUCGGUCCCUAUCCGCUGCGCGCGUAGGAAACUUGAGAAGGGCUGUCCCUAGUACGAGAGGACCGGGAUGGACGAACCUCUGGUGUGUCAGUUGUUCUGCCAAGGGCACCGCUGAUUAGCUACGUUCGGAAGUGAUAACCGCUGAAAGCAUCUAAGCGGGAAGCACGCUUCAAGAUGAGGUUUCCAUGCCCCUUGUGGGUGAGAGGCUCCCAGCUAGACUACUGGGUUGAUAGGCCGGAUGUGGAAGCACAGUAAUGUGUGGAGCUGACCGGUACUAAUAAGCCGAUAACUUGCUACAA
rnacentral:ncRNA from 1 species